rnacentral:rRNA from 1 species
GAUGAACGCUGGCGGCGUGCCUAAUACAUGCCAGUCGAGCGAACAGACGAGGAGCUUACUCCUCUGACGUUAGCGGCGGACGGGUGAGUAACACGUGGAUAACCUACCUAUAAGACUGGGAUAACUUCGGGAAACCGGAGCUAAUACCGGAUAACAUGUUGAACCGCAUGGUUCAACAGUGAAAGACGGUCUUGCUGUCACUUAUAGAUGGAUCCGCGUCGCAUUAGCUAGUUGGUAAGGUAACGGCUUACCAAGGCAACGAUGCGUAACCGACCUGAGAGGGUGAUCGGCCACACUGGAACUGAGACACGGUCCAGACUCCUACGGGAGGCAGCAGUAGGGAAUCUUCCGCAAUGGGCGAAAGCCUGACGGAGCAACGCCGCGUGAGUGAAGAAGGUCUUCGGAUCGUAAAACUCUGUUAUUAGGGAAGAACAAAUGUGUAAGUAACUAUGCACGUCUUGACGGUACCUAAUCAGAAAGCCACGGCUAACUACGUG